AAACUUCGUCGAAAUGGGUUCAUCUGGAAUGGGAGUUGAUGCGAAUGGAAAGCCAAUCAAGAGACAGCCUACAACUAAUAAUAACAACAAGAAAGCUGGAAACAACAGCAACAACCAGAAAAAAGGAAAUAAUCAAAACAACAAAAAUAAUAAGAACCAGAAUGGAGGAAAUCGCAACCAAAAUCGCCAACAUCACCAGCCUCCAAUGAUGCAAAUGGUUCCACCCUUCGGCCCAAUGGGACCAGGAGGACCAGGAGGACCAGGAUUCAUGGGCCCACCGAAUGGAAACAUGAACUUCUUCAACGGACAAAAUCGUCGUAAUGGCAGUGGAAAGGAUACAAUGGACCAUCGGCUAACAAUGUGGGACAAGGAGCUAUUGGAAAUAACAUGAACGGCGCUCAACCAUUUGCUGGACCAGAACCAUCAAUGGAAGUUCCUGGAUUCGGAAAGAACAGCAACAUUCAUGAACUUUUCGGAAAGAUGAUCUGGAGAAAAAUGGAACAGAUCAAUGACGCCGCUCUUGUCGAUCAACUCCAGAAUCGGAUAAUGAACCUGAUCCAUGAUGCCCUGGCUAGUCAGAACGAUAAGCAACAACAACAACAACAGCAGCAACAUCAACAAGGAUUCAAUCAACAAAGAGGAAUGCCGUUCGGAGGACCAGGAAACCAAAAUGGACCAUUCGGAAACAACGCUGGAUUCCAACGUUUUUAAAAGAAUAAAAUUCUGAUCUCUUCUGUUCAUCCCUUUAAAUGUUAUUUUGCUUCUGAAAUUUCGAAAAAAUGUAAUUCUAAUCUCCGAACUUUUGUCAGUCUGAUUCUCUCUUACACAUGUGUUUUAUAAUAAAUCCGAUCCGUCCCAA
rnacentral:misc_RNA from 1 species